UUGCACGCUGGCGGCAUGCUUUACACAUGCAAGUCGCACGGCAGCGCGGGCUUCGGCCUGGCGGCGAGUGGCGAACGGGUGAGUAAUGCAUCGGAACGUGCCCAGUAGUGGGGGAUAGCCCGGCGAAAGCCGGAUUAAUACCGCAUACGACCUGAGGGUGAAAGCGGGGGACCGAAAGGCCUCGCGCUAUUGGAGCGGCCGAUGUCGGAUUAGCUAGUUGAUGGGGUAAAGGCUUACCAAGGCGACGAUCCGUAGCUGGUCUGAGAGGACGACCAGCCACACUGGGACUGAGACACGGCCCAGACUCCUACGGGAGGCAGCAGUGGGGAAUUUUGGACAAUGGGGGCAACCCUGAUCCAGCCAUGCCGCGUGCGGGAAGAAGGCCUUCGGGUUGUAAACCGCUUUUGUUCGGGAAGAAAUCCUCUGGGCUAAUACCCCGGGGGGAUGACGGUACCGGAAGAAUAAGCACCGGCUAACUACGUG
rnacentral:rRNA from 1 species